UACGUAGGCAGCAAGCGUUGUUCGGAGUUACUGGGCGUAAAGGGUGUGUAGGCGGUUCUUUAAGUUUGGUGUGAAAUCUCCCGGCUCAACUGGGAGGGUGCGCCGAAUACUGAGGGACUUCGAGUGCGGGAGAGGAAAGUGGAAUUCCUGGUGUAGCGGUGAAAUGCGUAGAUAUCAGGAGGAACACCGGUGGUGUAGACGGCUUUCUGGACCGUAACUGACACUGAGAGACGAAAGCCAGGGGAGCAAACGGG
rnacentral:rRNA from 1 species